AUGUGGAUCUCCAGCCUGCUGAAGGUGGUCAUAGCUUUAAUGUGCCUAGGAUUCAGUGUUGCCCAGAAGGUAACUCAGGCCCAGUCAACAAUGACGGUGAACGAGAAGGAAGCUGCAGUCCUGAGUUGCACUUAUGAAACCAGUGAUACAACUUUCUAUUUAUUCUGGUACAAGCAGCCCAGCAGUGGGAAGAUGAUUUUCCUUAUUCGUCAGGACUCUUACAGCCAACACAAUGCAACAGAAGGUCGCUACUCAUUGAACUUCCAAAAAGCAAUGAAAUCCAUCCACCUUGUCAUCUCAGUUUCACAGCUGGGGGACUCGGCAGUGUAUUUCUGUGCACUGAGAGAAGCCACAGUGAGAGAAGAGUUGGAGGGAAGUGUACAAAAACUUAGGGCUCUGUUGUAG